GUGCUCAGUUCAGCAGCACGUAUACUAAAAUCGGAAUGAUACAGAGAAGAUUAGCAUGGCCCCUGCGCAAGGAUGACACACAAAUUUGUGAAGUGUUCUAUAUUUAA
ensembl:snRNA U6 U6 spliceosomal RNA